AAAGUACCCCCGUCCGAAAAUACUUGUCAUCAAAAUAGAUAAAAAAUGAUGCAUCUAGAACUAAUAUACAUCUAGAUACAUCCCCUUCUAUUUAUUUUGAUGACAAGUAUUUCCGGACGGAUGGAGAACUAA
rfam:Triticum aestivum genome assembly, contig: Triticum_aestivum_CS42_TGACv1_scaffold_514681_6BS